CCUACGGGAGGCAGCAGCCGCGGUAAUAUUGGACAAUGGGCGCAAGCCUGGUCCAGCCAUGCCGCGUGAGUGAUGAAGGCCCUAGGGUUGUAAAGCUCUUUAGAGCGGGAAGGUAAUGACGGUACCGCAAGAAUAAGCCCCGGUUAACUUCGUGCCAGCAGCCGCGGUAAU
rnacentral:rRNA from 1 species